CCUUUCUACGGAGAAUUCAGUCUGGUGUUUGCCAGACGGUGUGAACCACAUGAAUUCCGACAGUCGGAACUUUCAAUGUGGAUGCUGGUGUGGAAAAGAUUAUUGACUUGCAGUGCAGGCAUGCCCUUGGGCUCCCGAAUCGCCACCCCGUGGUUUUCCACGGUGCGAUUCGCUGCCCAUCAGUGACGCCGUUGAGCUUAUUGAAGUUCCGGUGGUCGUUGGUGGUGCGUGGUGGCUUGAGAACUGGAUAGUGGACGCGAGCAAAGAAUUUUUCUUUGCUGUAAAUUUCAACGAACUCUCUUUUAUAGGAUUGUUCGUCGAUCGUUUUGUGAUCAUUUCAGAUGUGAUGAUUUGUUGUCUGGGAAUUUGCUAGAAGAUACUUGCGGCGCACAUACGUGUGUAUG
rnacentral:misc_RNA from 1 species